UUCAGACCGUGGUGACAAAAAGUUAUGGAUUUCGUGUCAAUAGACAAAACCGUUUUUGUACAGCGCUGCUUCAGAUGUCAGGCAUCUUCACAAAAUGAGUCUGAGGCUAUAUCUCUGCAAAGCCCAUUAGUGGUCUUCCAGUGACAUCUAGUGGUCGUAAAUGCAAUUUAUCAUACAACACUGUCUCUUUAACCUUUAUAACUUUUAUAUGUUGUCUUAAUUUCAUUCCAAAGAAGCAUACGCAAUUUAUGUAUAAUUUCACAGUCUAGGUAAUAGUACUGCACUGAUUUUAAAUAACCUAGAUAUGGCUGACAGUAAAAGAAUAGAACAGAAUUACAGACACACACAAACAUGAAAUGUUUAAACUAGUAUAUUAAUACUCAAUAAGCAUGCUUAAACCCACACACAGAUGCACACAUUUUGUUAUAUAUAUAGAUAAUUAAAAUAAAUGAUGGGUGAUAAAACCUAUUGCAAGUCUUCUGUUUUUAUGGGCUUCUAUGUCUUUUUCCAGGUUUCAUUGCAAUCAUAAUCUGGCAUAAUUAUAAACAUUAGAUAUAUCUGUAUGAAUAAAUUGGUAAACUUUGACUCAAUGUGAUCUGAAAUGCUUGAACAGUAAUAUUAAAUAAUAGUAAUAUACAUUUUUUCUAGAUGAAUCCCUCAACAAGCCCAUAAACUGUAAUGUUUUAGUCUUUAGUGAGCUCAUUAGUGGUCUUCCGGUGACAUCUAGUGGUUAUAAUUGCAAUUUUUUAUUCAACACUGGGUUUUGAAGCUUUAUAAAUAUUACAGUGUUCUUUUUUACCUAAUCUCUGUUAAAUUUUGCAUGAUUGUUUAGAAAAAAUACAGAUCUAAUGCAUGUGUGAUUAUAUUACCCCCUUUUUUUUUGCAGUUUAAUGCCAUUCACAACAGAAAUCUUUUGUUUUUUAGGCCUGUUUAAAUGUUAUCUAACCAAAGGACAAAAUACAACAUAUUUUUUCAAAGUUAUUGAUCUAGAGAGUCCUGAGAAUAUUACUGCAGUGGUUUGAUCAAGACUGAACAAAAAACCAGGUGACCCAAAACAUUCAAAUUCGUGGACCAAUUUUACGAAAAAGGCUAUAACUCGGGAACAAAAUGAGAUAUCUUCACCAAACUCAGAACUCAUAUGCAUGAACAAAAACUUUAGUCAAAUUAUUAUUUUUUUUCCAUAUCUGCCACUUGGUGGCGCUACAGGAUGAAAAAAAAUCAAAUGGCUAUAACUAAGCAACCGUUGAUCCAAUCAACUUGAAAAUUGAUAUGGCCCAAUGUGGCACAAGUGCUCUAUGAGGAAUUUCACUUAUCUUAAAAAACAUGGCCGCCAUUGGCCAAACAACUUUAAGCACCUAUUUGACAAGGUUAAUGGAAGUCGAUCGGAACGAAACUCGGUGGGCAUGUUCGACUCAUUGCCCUAAAGGUCUGUAAGUAUUUUGAAAGAAAUUGCCCACAACAUUGUCACCUCCCACAGAACACAACAAAGCGAUUUGAUUACAGCGCCACCUAUUUUCCAAAAAUGAUAAUGCAUCAUUUUACUGGAGUUUUACUGGCUGUUUCAAUUACACUCUUCCAAUAAUUGCUUUUCUUACUCGUUGCAUUUGGUCUGAUGCUCCAUGCCAUGCUUAGCUCCUCGCUGUGGAACUUUUAUUAACGAUUUUCAGCCAUUUCAAUUACAAUCAUGCAAUUAUUAAUUUCAUUAUUCAUUGUUGCAUUUGGUCUGAUGCUACAUAUGCUUAGCUCCUGAUGUUGCCGCUGGAAUGCUUGGCCCCGUGAUUGCUGCUUGCAGCUAUAUUUAUUAUUCUUCUUCUUCUUCUUCUUCCGCCGCAAGUCUAUGGCAGCCCAUAGAACCGAUUGCGGGAAAGUUGUAUAAUUUGGCACACUGAUAGAGGACAGUCCCAACAUUAACAAUAGCUAAUUUGAAG